AGGUCCUGGCCGGGAUCGAACCGGCGGCCUUCUGCGUGUAAAGCAGACGUGAUAACCACUACACCACAGGACC